ensembl:lncRNA
GGAGAAGGAGAAGGAGAGGGAGAGGGACAGGAAAACGGAGAGGGAGAGGGAAAGGGAAACGGAGAGGGAGAGGGAAAGGGAGAGGGAAAGGGAAGGAAAGGUAAAAGGAAAGGGACAGAGAAGGGAGAGGGAAAGGAGAAGGGAAGGAGAAUGGAAGGAAAGGGAAGGAAAAGGAACAGGAUCUCAGAAAUUAUUGAGGCAAUUAUGUGAGCGCAGUACAUGAGAAGUAAUCCCAGCUGCUGGGAGCUGGGGGGAAGAGAAAUCAUGGUGUGAUCCAAAGGGGCCCCAGAGAGCGCACGCCAGCAGCGGUGACCUGGUUUGCAGAUGGAUCCAACGCUCCUCUGCUUCCAAGCCCAACACACCGCCCUGCUCCUGGGUGUCAGCGCUGGCAUCGUGCACUAAUCUGUUUAUUUCUGUUUGCUUCCUUUCUUAUUUUUCCUGUCUUUUGAAUUAAAAGCUAAUCCUCCGUGCUGAUUCUCAUAAUUUCGAGCCAUGCAUUGAACACAGGAAUUCUUGAGCAGGUUUUUGCUCCCCUGGCAGCAUCACUUUCCCCAUUGCACAGGAAACCAAAGGCAGACAGCAGAGCAAGAAAACACAACACAGCUCCUGCAUCACGCCACCUCCUCGGGCUUCCAGCACAUCUCAACACAGAACUAGAGCAAAAGGGCAGAUUAUUUAAAGCCGUCACAUGUAGGCCAAUUUUCGCUGCAGUUCCUUUUGGCUCUGAUUUUGCAGGCCCCAGCGGAGUGGUGAAGUCAUGAAUAAAUGCAAGCAAACCGAGCUGAUCCACUCUCAUUUGAGCAGCGGAGUUUACUCGCCCCAUGCUGCUUCAGCUGGAACACCAGAAGCAUCCCUUCCGUUUGGCUUCGACCGGAGCUGAGUGACUGCCGCGCUUGUCAUCGUGUGGUCAAAACAGUGGUGAGAGCCAGAUCCUUCAAAGUUGGAAAAAUCAUAAUAAUGGAGUCCCCGCCAUCCUGCUGUGUUUAUAAAGAGAUGUUUUCUUCCUGAGCUACACAGCAUGGCAGGCUUAAUCUGAAAUUUCUUUUUAAUCAUAGCAGGAGUCCCAAUUAACGUGUCGGGUAAUCGUUCGAGUAGAACCGGAGCUUCAUGGCUGUGGGGAUGAGCAGGAAUGGACCCUUGGGGCUGGGACCAAGAGCUCUGAGCAUCCCCUGCCACGUUUGGGGCACACAGAGCACUGAGCAUCCUCUGCAACGUUUUAGGUGCACAGAGCUCUGAGCAUCCCCUGCAACAUUUGGGGCACACAUUGCUCUGAGCAUCCCCCGCCACGUUUGGGGUGCACAGAGCUCUGAGCACCCCCGUGCCACAUUUGGAGCCCUGGGCUCACUCAGCUGCAGCAGGGCACAGGGCUCAGCUCCGGGCACUGCAGGGCGCCGUGUUGCCUCUCCGUGCCCCUUCCCAGAGGAGGCACACGGUGCAUUCCUGCUGCAGGAUGCAGCCGUGCUCCAGCGCGUGCCGGCGGGACCGGCCCUGACCUACUUUCCUUUGUUGCGGGAGCUGCAGGCAGGAUGCAGGAUGCUGUGUGCAGGCAGCGUGCAGGCAGGAUCCGGCUUCGCUUUGCUCCUGCACAUCUCCUGACACCGCCACCGCUGUUUCCACCCACCGACCUCAAUCUAUUUAGACCAAUCCCAAUAGCAGGAUGCUCCAACCCACCCUGUCCAUCCAGCACAGAAAACUGCAGCGCCCCGCAAUUUCCAAAUGCUGGACCUACAUGGCCAGGUGCCCUUUAGCUCUCCGAGGAUGCACCCACACCUCCAUGGGCAGCCAACCCUGGCAUCCUUGAGCACAGAAAGCUCAUGCUACGUUUCUAUCCUCCAUUCAUGCAUUGGGGUUGAACCUGGCGCUGCGCUGACCUGGAAAGCGAAGCUCUUUAAAAUUCAAACGUGCACCCGUGGCGGAUUUCAGCGGUGCUACGGAGAACGCAGCCCUCCUCCUGCACAGCUCCUGCAGCACUUUGGUUGGGAUGCUGAGCUGCAGCCCUGAGGUUUGGGGCUCAGAGGCUCGCUGCAGUCACUGGGGCUCGUGCAAAUUGGUCUUCAGAGGGAAAGAGCUCCGCCACCGCAUGCACAAACACUCCUCAGCAACCGACUAAAGAGCUCCACCGGCCACCUGGGUUAACACAGUGGCUGGAUUUUGCAGAUUUGGAGAUAAAAGGCUGCGAUGGUUAACUCGCAUCCUGCAGCCCUUGUAAGGCAGCCAUUCUGCACGAGGCUUCCCUCCUGCAAUGCUUUAAGGAUGGAGCAUUUUAAUUGAUUAGCUCCAUUACGGAGGAGCAGAAUAGCAGCGGUGCAGUUGAACUUUGGUCCUUGAAAUGCAGGGAGACAUCAGCCUGUAGUGUUCUGGAAGCCUUGGGGGCUCAUUUCUGCUGCCCCGUGCUCUCAGCCUGG